rnacentral:rRNA from 1 species
GAUGAACGCUAGCGGCAGGCCUAAUACAUGCAAGACGAGCGGUAAAUAGUGUAGCAAUACAUUAUGAGAGCGUCGUAAGGGUGCGUAACAAGUAUGCAAUCUGCCCUCAACAGGAGGAUAGCUCCCCGAAAGGGGAAUUAACACUCCAUAGUUUUGAUUGGUGGCAUCACCGAUCAAAUAAAACUCCGGUGGUUGAGGAUGAGCAUGCUUCUGAUUAGCUAGUUGGUGGUGUAACGGACCACCAAGGCGAUGAUCAGUAGGGGAACUGAGAGGUUGAUCCCCCACACUGGCACUGAGAUACGGGCCAGACUCCUACGGGAGGCAGCAGUAGGGAAUAUUGGUCAAUGGAUGCAAGUCUGAACCAGCCAUGCCGCGUGCAGGAAGAAGGCCUUCUGGGUCGUAAACUGCUUUUGCCAGGGGAUAAAAUUCCGAUGCGUCGGAAAUUGAAGGUACCUGGUGAAUAAGCCACGGCUAACUACGUGCCAGCCGCCGCCGUAA